rnacentral:rRNA from 1 species
GCCAUAGAGUUUGAUCUGGCUCAGGAUGAACGCUGGCGGCGUGCCUAACACAUGCAAGUCGAGCGAUCUCUUCGGAAGAGAGCGGCGGACGGGUGAGUAACGCGUGGGUAACCUGCCCUAUACACACGGAUAACAUACCGAAAGGUAUGCUAAUACGAGAUAAUAUAAGAAAUUCACAUGUUUUUCUUAUCAAAGCUGAGGCGGUAUAGGAUGGACCCGCGUCUGAUUAGCUAGUUGGUAAGGUAAUGGCUUACCAAGGCGACGAUCAGUAGCCGACCUGAGAGGGUGAUCGGCCACAUUGGAACUGAGACACGGUCCAAACUCCUACGGGAGGCAGCAGUGGGGAAUAUUGCACAAUGGGCGAAAGCCUGAUGCAGCAACGCCGCGUGAGCGAUGAAGGCCUUCGGGUCGUAAAGCUCUGUCCUCAAGGAAGAUAAUGACGGUACUUGAGGAGGAAGCCCCGGCUAACUACGUGCCAGCAGCCGCGGUAAUACGUAGGGGGCUAGCGUUAUCCGGAUUUACUGGGCGUAAAGGGUGCGUAGGUGGUUUCUUAAGUCAGGAGUGAAAGGCUACGGCUCAACCGUAGUAAGCUCUUGAAACUGGGAAACUUGAGUGCAGGAGAGGAAAGUGGAAUUCCUAGUGUAGCGGUGAAAUGCGUAGAUAUUAGGAGGAACACCAGUAGCGAAGGCGGCUUUCUGGACUGUAACUGACACUGAGGCACGAAAGCGUGGGGAGCAAACAGGAUUAGAUACCCUGGUAGUCCACGCCGUAAACGAUGAGUACUAGGUGUCGGGGGUUACCCCCCUCGGUGCCGCAGCUAACGCAUUAAGUACUCCGCCUGGG